CCUUCAUGAAGCCGGAAUUGCUAGUAAUGGCAGGUCAGCAUACUGCCGUGAAUACGUUCCCGGGCCUUGUACACACCGCCCGUCACACCAUGAGAGUUGGGGAUACCCGAAGCCUGUGAGCUAACUUUAUAAGGAGCAGCAGUCGAAGGUAGAAUCAAUGAUUGGGGUGAAGUCGUAACAAGGUAGC
rnacentral:rRNA from 1 species